UUUUUGAGGCACUCUCUGUUUUGUUUGUUUGUUUUUUUUAAGGGCCAAAUCUGGGGCAUAUGGAGGUUCCCAGGCUAGGGGUUGAAUCGGAGCUGUAGCUGCUAGCCUGUGCCACAGCCACAGCAAUGUGGGAUCUGAGCCGCAUCUGCGACCUACACCACAGCUCAUGGCAACACUGGAUCCUUAACCCACUGAGCGAGGCCAGGGAUCGAACCCACAACCUCAUGGUUCCUAGUCAGAUUCAUUUCCGCUCUGCCACGGCAGGAACUCCCAGCUUUCUCUGUUAAAAGAGGGACUGGAGAAAACAUUCAGAGCCUUCUGCUGGUCCCCAAGGGCAGGGCACAGUUGGGGGCAAUGGCAGAAAUCAAGAGGUAUGGAGAGAGGGAAUUAGGGUGAAGCCACCUGAUGGCAGGUGUCAUGUAGUAGAGCAGAGCUUAGAAAGAGUAACAUAAUGAAUGCAGAGGGAGUCAGAGAAAUAAAUGAGACUGAAGGAAACACCAGGAGACCUUUUUAUCUUUUUUCUUUUUUGUCCUGAGAUGACAGCUACUAGGACCUGGUUAGGACACUAGAGCUUUUGUUCUUUGCUGAGAGGCAACAAGAACCUUCCUGUUUCAGGAGGCCUGGACAAGUCUCAAGAUGCACCCAGUUCCCGGGGCUUCCUGCCUUGGCUGUGUAGUCUCCCUCCAGCAAGACCACGUUCCCAGGGGAGCCAAGCACACUGGAACCCCGCCGGGAUUGGCUCUUUCCUCCCCUGCCUGCUGGGGCCUCUGGGGUCAGCCAGCACAGUGUGCGGCAGGCUGAAGACUUUAAGUGACAAGUCAAGAGAAGUUAAAGUGAAAAACAAACCAAGAACUGUUCCAUAUUUGCCAAAGUACUCUGCUGGACUAGAAUUACUUAGCAGGUAAGUGUUUCCAUUUAAAUAAAAGACUUAUGCUUCUGACUGUUUUUUGGAUU
rnacentral:lncRNA from 1 species